rnacentral:rRNA from 1 species
UACGGAGGGUGCAAGCGUUAUCCGGAUUCACUGGGUUUAAAGGGUGCGUAGGUGGGCCUGUAAGUCAGUGGUGAAAUCUCCGGGCUUAACCCGGAAACUGCCAUUGAUACUAUAGGUCUUGAAUCAUCUGGAGGUGAGCGGAAUAUGUCAUGUAGCGGUGAAAUGCUUAGAUAUGACAUAGAACACCGAUUGCGAAGGCAGCUCACUACGGAUGUAUUGACACUGAGGCACGAAAGCGUGGGGAUCAAACAGG